UGAAGCAUAAUUACUAAUAAUUAUAAUAUUAACAUUAUUUUCUUUUUAUGCCUUGAGUGAAAUGGGAUUGAAUUCUCUUAAAAAUCUAAAAUCCUUUUAGUUCAUAGCAACAUAAAUUCUAUUACAAAAUAGGACAAAAUGGAUUAGAAUAAGAUUGAAUAAAACUAAACAAAAUAGAACUUAAAAGUUAAAAUAGAAUAAAAAGAAUAGAAAAAAAUAAAAUAAAAAAUCUAAAUCAAACUUUACUAAGAAAAAGAGACCAAAGUCAUAUCUAAUCGAAUGCUCUAAAUGACCUCAGUUAAUUCUAUUUAUAUUUUGUCUAAUUAUUCUAGAACUUUUUAGAAUGUUCCUAAUGGUGGAUCUUACCUUGAUAACCACCCUCU
rnacentral:lncRNA from 1 species